AAGUCGUAACAAGGUUUCCGUAGGUGAACCUGCGGAAGGAUCAUUAACACGUAUCCAACGUUAAAACAACCCCCGUGAACUUUCAGCUUGCUCCUGUAGCCCGUGAAAACAGCAAUCCCUGGUAAAUCAUUGUUGACCAGCUUUUGAGUCAGGGACCUCUGCCGAUUGUGAUAUUUUAUAGCUACGGUUGAGCGAUUGCAUCUAGUGACCUGGCAUCCCCAAGUAAUCAGUGUCUGAAAGUGUCAUUGAUUAUGUAAGGAUGGCGCAGUCACGAUCGCUGUAGGCCCACACGGCCGGCGACCGGGUCACCGCGUGAAAUUCGCACGGCACCAAAAACCGAACAACUGUUAACAAUGGAUAUCUUGGUUCUUC
rnacentral:misc_RNA from 1 species